rnacentral:rRNA from 1 species
CCUACGUGAGGCAGCAGUGAGGAAUCUUGGUCAAUGGACGCAAGUCUGAACCAGCCAUGCCGCGUGCAGGAAGACGGCUCUAUGAGUUGUAAACUGCUUUUGUACGAGGGUAAACGCAGAUACGCGUAUCUGUCUGAAAGUAUCGUACGAAUAAGGAUCGGCUAACUCCGUGCCAGCAGCCGCGGUAAUACGGAGGAUUCAAUCGUUAUCCGGAUUUAUUGGGUUUACAGGGUGCGUAGGCGGUCGUAUAAGUUAGAUGUGAAAUCUAGAGGCUCAACUUCGGAAUUGCCUCUGAUACUGUUCGGCUAGAGAGUAGGUGCGGUAGGCGGAAUGUAUGGUGUAGCGGUGAAAUGCUUAGAGAUCAUACAGAACACCGAUUGCGAAGGCAGCUUACCAAGCUACUUCUGACGUUGAGGCACGAAAGCGUGGGGAGCAAACAGGAUUAGAUACCCCUGUAGUC